AUGCUGAGUGAGGAGGGGCGGGAGGACGCGGCCGCGGCAACGACUUGGAGGCCACGACGACGCGCGUGGAGGAGGGAGGGUCCGGUAGAGGUAGGAACGAGUCCGCACGUACGUACACACGACGCCCGGACGGAGCGGAGAGCAAUCGCGUCGCCAGGCAGGCAGUGCAGUGGGGACUCGUGUGCUUGUGUAUAUACUCGUGGACGUGCGGUGCUGCCGGCGCCAUUGCCCGGCCGGUACCGGGGAGCAGUUCGCAGUUGGAAUUUGCAAAGCCUGCUCCGACGACGACUGUCUUGCUGCGGCUGGAUGGAUUCUCUUGCAAGCAAGCAAGCGAGCCAGCGUAUCGUAUCAGCUUUACUACUCCUACUUACUUGA
rnacentral:rRNA from 1 species